AUCAGUGAAAACGAGUAGGGCGGGACACGUGAUAUCCUGUCUGAAUAUGGGGGGACCAUCCUCCAAGGCUAAAUACUACUGACUGACCGAUAGUGAACCAGUACCGUGAGGGAAAGGCGAAAAGAACCCCUGUGAGGGGAGUGAAAUAGAACCUGAAACCGUGUACGUACAAGCAGUAGGAGCACCUUCGUGGUGUGACUGCGUACCUUUUGUAUAAUGGGUCAGCGACUUAAUUUUAGUAGCAAGGUUAACCGUUUAGGGGAGCCGUAGGGAAACCGAGUCUUAACUGGGCGUACAGUUGCUAGGAUUAGACCCGAAACCAGGUGAUCUAGCCAUGGGCAGGUUGAAGGUUGAGUAACAUCAACUGGAGGACCGAACCGACUAAUGUUGAAAAAUUAGCGGAUGACUUGUGGCUAGGGGUGAAAGGCCAAUCAAACCUGGAGAUAGCUGGUUCUCCCCGAAAGCUAUUUAGGUAGCGCCUCGGACGAAUACUACUGGGGGUAGAGCACUGUUAAGGCUAGGGGGUCAUCCCGACUUACCAACCCUUUGCAAACUCCGAAUACCAGUAAGUACUAUCCGGGAGACACACGGCGGGUGCUAACGUCCGUCGUGGAGAGGGAAACAACCCAGACCGCCAGCUAAGGUCCCAAAGUAUAGCUAAGUGGGAAACGAUGUGGGAAGGCUCAGACAGCCAGGAUGUUGGCUUAGAAGCAGCCAUCAUUUAAAGAAAGCGUAAUAGCUCACUGGUCGAGUCGGCCUGCGCGGAAGAUGUAACGGGGCUAAGCUAUACACCGAAGCUGCGGCUACGUACCUUAGGGUAUGUGGGGUAGGGGAGCGUUCUGUAAGCCGUUGAAGGUGGUCUGUAAGGGCUGCUGGAGG
rnacentral:rRNA from 1 species